rnacentral:tRNA from 1 species
GCCUGGCUGGCUCAGUAGGUAGAGUGUCUGAAUCUUGAUCUCAAAGUCGUGAGUUCAAGCCCCAUGAUGGGCA